UACGAAGGGGGCUAGCGUUGCUCGGAAUCACUGGGCGUAAAGGGUGCGUAGGCGGGUCUUUAAGUCAGGGGUGAAAUCCUGGAGCUCAACUCCAGAACUGCCUUUGAUACUGAAGAUCUUGAGUUCGGGAGAGGUGAGUGGAACUGCGAGUGUAGAGGUGAAAUUCGUAGAUAUUCGCAAGAACACCAGUGGCGAAGGCGGCUCACUGGCCCGAUACUGACGCUGAGGCGCGAAAGCGUGGGGAGCGAACCGG
rnacentral:rRNA from 1 species